rnacentral:rRNA from 1 species
AUUGAACGCUGGCGGCAGGCCUAACACAUGCAAGUCGAGCGGAUGAAGGGAGCUUGCUCCUGGCUUCAGCGGCGGACGGGUGAGUAAUGCAUAGGAAUAUGCCUGGUAGUGGGGGAUAACGUCAGGAAACGGGCGCUAAUACCGCAUACGUCAUGAGGGAGAAAGUGGGGGAUCUUUGGACCUCACGCUAUCAGAUGAGCCUAGGUCGGAUUAGCUAGUUGGUGGGGUAAAGGCCUACCAAGGCGACGAUCCGUAACUGGUCUGAGAGGAUGAUCAGUCACACUGGAACUGAGACACGGUCCAGACUCCUACGGGAGGCAGCAGUGGGGAAUAUUGGACAAUGGGCGAAAGCCUGAUCCAGCCAUGCCGCGUGUGUGAAGAAGGUCUUCGGAUUGUAAAGCUCUGUAAGUUGGGAGGAAGGGCAGUAUGUGUAUACCUUGCUGUUUUGACGGUACCAACAGAGAAAGCACCGGCUAACUUCGUG